rnacentral:snRNA from 1 species
GGCUUGUGAGGGCGAUCUGGCUGCGACAUCUGUCACCCCAUUGAUCCCCAGGGUUGCUUUGGCUGAUCUGGCUGGCUAGGUGGGUGUCCCCAUCCUCCCUCCACGCUCCAGGUCCAUCACUCCUGAAGCUGUGCGCUCAGUUGAAAAGGACGAUCUUCCCAAAAGAGGAGGUCUGGUCUUCAGUCAAAGGUAUACGAGUAGCUGCACUCCCCUGCUUGAACCUCCAAACAAACUCUCAAGAAAAGCCUUUUUAAAGUAAUAGUUUCAAUGAAAAAUAAGGAAUUAAUCUGAUGUGAACUGUAUUUUGUCAUU